UGAAAAAACAGAGUAAACGCUCACCUUUUAUGUACAUUCACUUUCAUCAAAAUUUCUGAAUCAAUUAACAAGCGUAAUGAAUUAAAAUUUACUUACUCUUCCUCUACGUAGAAGAUUUGCAAGUUCGGUGAGUUCGGUUUCUUCAGAUCCUUCAAUGAUCAGCAUCAGAGCUUUAAUACAAGGAAUUUCUGCCAUUUUAGUAGAAUGAACAGAGCUAUUGAAAGGAUUUUUCAAAUUAUAUUUGAACGAUACGAAAGAAACGAGUAAACUGAUUAAUUCGUGAUUUCAUUUCAACGAGUCGAUGAAAAUUGAAAGAUGAAUCUGGAAAACAGGUUUCUUGUUCCUUCUUCCUUGAUUCAUUGUUUGAACUUUGAACUUUGAAGUGGCAGAGCAGCACUGGGCAGCAGGAAAUUGUCAUGUGCGGCGUGUCAACUACUAUACGUGGCACGUGGCACGUGGUGAAUGGCUUACUUCGCGUUAGUGCACGCCUACGUGCCUGUCUACAUAGGAGGCAACGAGCAACAGCAACAAGCAAUUUUGACAAAAUUGAAGCAACUUGGGUGAUUUUUCAAAAAGCUUCCCUACAUAAUGAGAGCAACUUACGACGCGAAUUUUCUGCAGAAUGCCAAAAAAAAAGCGGUAAACUGUUCAAUGAUUGGAUAAAAAAAAUUUGAGGCAACACCAGGCAACACAGGCAACAUAAUCAAACUAUUUUGAUUAUGUUGCCUGGUUCCAAGUAGGGUUCCAAGUUGCUUGUUGCUGUUGCUUAUUGCCUCCUAUGUAGAUCGCGACUACAUAAGCGACAACGUUCAACGUUCAACGCUCAAUCGUCAACCUAAACGCGCAACGUCCAACCGAAACAAAAUAUUUUGAAUUGGUUGAGAGUUGAACGUUGUCGCUUAUGUAGGCAUGCACUCACUCGCCAUCGCCGGCCAAAAGGGACUCCGCCGAAAAACCAACACGACAGGACGACACGCUACAAUUGCCUCUAACUAACGAAAAACGCCAUUCGUCCACCACCAGCGCCAAAUGUUGAGUCUAUUUAUAUGAAUGAUUCAAAACUCACUCAUUCGCCAAAAUCUUCUGAAUGAUGUUUCACUUAUGGAUACAAACAAGCUUUCGAACCUGACAGGCAAGGUAAAUAAAUUGCUGACAGGCCAAAUUCGUUGUACAAAGGAUACGAAGGUCUGGCUAGUGCCUUAGAUAGAGGGCUAUACGGCUAUAUUUCCUUGUUGAUUUGGAAAAAGCUAAAUUUCCAGUACCUAGUUGAAAUUCGAAUCUUUUUUACUCAUUCUUCUCGUUAAAUUUCCAUGUUUCCUUGCAAAUAUUAGAUUAUAUACUUACAUAUCAUUCAUAAUUCUUUAGUUGAUUCGUCUUAAAUAAAUAACAACACCAAAAACUCUCGUAUAAGUUUUUAUUCAGAGUUGUCAAAGAUUAUACAGAGAAAAUGAAAAGCUAUUUUCAUUACAGAGAUAGAUAUGUUUCAUUUUUUAUCCGUUUUUUAACACGAUUUUCAAAUGGUGAAGCUCUCAAUAAUUUUCACCAUGACCAUCAUUCAUAGGGCAGAUGAAUAAUACACGUUAAUCAAUACUGUAUUAGUUAUAACGAUAAUUUUUUUUUAAGAAAGAGAGAAAUAAGAAUUAUACAUUAAACAACCAUUAUAAACAAAAAGGAAUGUAAAAAAUGGCUCAUAAAUCCAAUAGGUAACAAAUACAUAAGUACUGGAAAAAAUGGUAUUGAUUCAAAAUGAAAUUAUGGCAUAUUAAAAUCUUAUAAUUCUUCGUCAUAAACAUUAAAAAAAUAUUACAUUAUUCAUUAGAUGAUAAACUUUCAUAACUUUUAAUUACAUGAAAAUAUAUAACUGAAAGUUUGAAAAAUCUAGAAUUCAAUUCCGUAAUGUUAUUACCAUUUUAAUGGAUAAAUUUGAUCAAGAUAGGUAUUCAAUCAUACAUCAUUCCAUUUUAAAAUUGUUAAUGAAACACGGCAAUUAAAAAGAUUUGAAAAGAUUAUAAAAUCCAACAAUGUUGCGAUACGUUACGUCAGAAUGGGGGAAAAUAAAUAUUAUAAAAAAAAUAACACCAGAAAAGGAGAAUACUAUACACAGAAGCGUAGAUUAAACUUUUAUUUAAACUUACGUUCCUUAAAAAAGACGAAUAUGGCGAAUAAAUUUUUCCAUUGAGAAUUUAAUCGAUACGAGAAACUGUCAAAGUUGAAAAAUAUAUGAAAUCCUGGUAACUAAAGACGUUUUGUAAACAAAAUUUCAAACGUAUAAAUAUUCGUUCCGCAGGAAGAAUAAAAUUUAAUUCCAAAAAUAUUGAGUUUUAUAAAAACAACUGCAGUAACGAAAUUGGACUAGCUUAAUUUGGUAUAAUAGAUCUAGUGAUCAGUUUACAAUAAAUAAACAUGUUUAAAAAAAUAAUGGUCAACAAAAUGAAAAAAAAAAGAAUAAUAAUAAUAAAAGUAAAAACUAUUUACAAUUUACCUACAUACGUUAUUUUACAGCCAAAUGAAUUCCGGAGUCCAAUCAAUGGAAGAGAUAAGUCGUUCAAGAACACAUGGAACUAUUUUUUCAUUCUGCAAUGAAAUGAAAUAUAAUUAAUUAUGCAAUAAUAAAAUCGUAAUUAUUCA